AAGUCGUAACAAGGUUUCCGUAGGUGAACCUGCGGAAGGAUCAUUACCAAAAUGGAUGUGAUACCAAGCACGCGCAUGUAGGUUUAUAGGGGUUAAUUCAUUAACUUCGCAAGUAGCGAAUAACGUAUGUUAAUCGACUUGUCCUGGAGGUGACGCGUCUCCCCUUCCGAGGGGGAAGCUUUGGCCUGCGGGUAUUGAGGUAUGAUGCGGGUGAAACGGUACGUGACGAUUGGCUCAGGCCGAUUGGGGGUACGCGUGCUAGCCUGCUGAUCCGCCUCGUCCGGGGUUGAGGUACUCUAAGAAAAACAUUUUGUGCACCUGUACUACCCGAUUCAUGAAUAUGGCCUUAUGAUUUCACUGAUCCUUUUUGGGGAUUAGUUGAAUAAUAAUACAUAAAUAA
rnacentral:misc_RNA from 1 species